GCAGGGAUUACCCCCGCCGGGGAAUAAACCCGGCUCAUCCAUUUUUUCUCGUUCGGUUAAGCCCCGCGUUGUAUUUCCCCGGCCCAAACCUCUCCAAACCCACGCGGAAAAAAUCAUCCACUAGCACCCCGUGGAAGGAAUCCCCGAGCGAGGCGCUCGUCUCAUCUCUCCCGAGCGACAGAAGCGGCGGCAAGGAGGCGGCGGGGACGAGUGGACGGCGGCGGCGCAACCUACCCGGAGGAGGAGGAUGCCCUCCUGCUUCGACGACCUGCCACGAAGCCCGCCGGAACCCUAGCCUCUGAUUGUCCCAUCUCCCCGGCCGCCCCCUUGCCGCGGCCGGAACCCGCUAGCUCCGGAGAAGUGGUUGCUGCAGGCGAGGAGAUCUCUGAUAUAGGCUAGCUUCGUCACCUCACAGCUGCAGCAAGACCCUGAAUUGGGCAGCAUCGUGAAGGACAAGGAGUUCUACAUAAGAAUGCUCCAGAAGAAGGACGAAGGUGCCGCGACUUGGAUCUAUUUGUGUGUGCUUUUCAGUGGAAGGCUUCAUAUCUAUUCGCUGGGUUUUGGGAGGAACUGAUAAUUAAGCUCUUGUGGUCUAUUCAACAUAUUAUAUAUUAUGUAUGCUCCAAAUUGCUAUUAUUUUUGUUAGUAUUUGUGCCCUGUUCAAAUCUUAGAAUUGUUGUUAUUGUUAGGAUAAUAAGUGUUUUAAACCUUCAGUGCUAUUGUCACUUCAGUCUGCAUCUGUGUCAUUACUACAUGAGAAUUGUUGUUAUCUAUAUGUACCAC
rnacentral:rRNA from 1 species